AACGGCUCAAGCAUGGCCUGAAUGCCUGUUACCACCUGACGCUUCGACCGGCACCUGCGGCUAAGUGAAGAAACCCAAAACAGAAAGAUUGAUUGAGAGCAGGACAGAAGAGUCCUCCCUGAGGAGUGGCCCCAGUGGAUCCCCAGAUUCCCACAGAAGAUUCAGACAGCGAGAGAGAGGAGCCUCCAACAACGAGUGGCGGCCCAAGUGGAC